rnacentral:rRNA from 1 species
AGAGUUUGAUCCUGGCUCAGAACGAACGCUGGCGGCGUGUUUAAGACAUGCAAGUCGCACGGAAUCAUUUUGGUAGUAAUACUCGAAUGGUUUAGUGGCGCACGGGUGAGUAACAUGUGAAUUACAUGCCCUAUAGUGGGGAAUAGCCCAGGGAAACUUGGAUUAAUACCCCAUAGUCUCGCAAGAGUAAAGGUGGCCGCAAGGCUGUCGCUAUAGGAUUGGUUCGCACCCUAUCAGCUUGUUGGUGAGGUAACGGCUCACCAAGGCUACGACGGGUACCUGGUCUGAGAGGACGAUCAGGCACACUGGAACUGAGACACGGUCCAGACACCUACGGGUGGCAGCAGUCGAGAAUAAUUCACAAUGGGGGCAACCCUGAUGGUGCAACGCCGCGUGGAGGAUGAAGGUCUUCGGAUUGUAAACUCCUGUCAUCUGGGAGUAAGACCUGGUCGUUAAUAGCGGACAGGGUUGAUAGUACCAGAAGAGGAAGGGACGGCUAACUUCGUGCCAGCAGCCGCGGUAAUACGAAGGUCCCGAGCGUUGUUCGGAAUCACUGGGCGUAAAGGGAGCGUAGGCGGCGUGGUAAGUCAGAUGUGAAAUCCCGGGGCUCAACCCCGGAACUGCAUCCGAUACUGCCGUGCUAGAGGAUUGGAGAGGUAGCUGGAAUUCUUGGUGUAGCAGUGAAAUGCGUGGAUAUCAAGAGGAACACUCGUGGCGAAAGCGAGCUACUGGACAACUCCUGACGCUGAGGCUCGAAGGCCAGGGUAGCGAAAGGGAUUAGAUACCCCUGUAGUCCUGGC